GGGGAUUUAGCUCAGUGGUAGAGUGCUUGCCUAGCAAGCACAAGGCCCUAGGUUCAGUCCCCA
rfam:Rattus norvegicus chromosome 4, whole genome shotgun sequence.